AAAUUUUAUAUCCAUUUGCAAGGAAAAGUAAAGAGAGUUUUAGAAUUGCACUUAGGCUUAGUUUGGUAUUGAGGUGGAUCUAACUAGAUAAAAUAGAGUUGAGAAAAAGCAUAUAGGAAUAUGCUUCUACGUUCUUUUAUGGGACCGCAGAAAAUAUAUCGUAACCGUCUAACGCAAUAUGCGGAACGCAAUAUUACGUACGGAAACAAAUGGGAUAUUUUUCUAUCAUCGUUUCUCACCGCACGUAAUGCAAUUUUUUCGCAAUUCCAAACGAAGCCUUAAUUUGGUUUCAUCAAAAUAAAUACUUAGAAACUGAUUCUUUUAAUAUACUCCUCUUAUUUUACAACUUAGUAAACUGAAAUCACCAUCUUGACUACUUAGACCAACUGGUUGAUAUACUUAUUUUAAAGUGUAUCAGUUAUGCUAUGCAGGAAUU
rnacentral:lncRNA from 1 species